UCCCACUCAACUUCGAUCUCUCUGAAAUUCUCUCUCCAUUUCAAAUUCAUUCUAGUGUUUGUGCGAUCAAUUUUUAUCAAAUUACUCAUCAAAUCUUCGUUUUCGUUCCAAAUAUUUCUAGAUUAUGCUACAAUGGUGAAGAAAUUGGUAGUUGCUAGUCCGAAAAGCGACGAUGCCGCCGGUUCGAAGACAGAAACGCCAGUUGAAGCUUCACGAAGGCGAGGAAGUCGGCAGAAUCAAGGUGCUGAGACAAUUUCUGUUGCGAGACAAUCUGUCAGAAUUGGCAAGAAGAAAAAUGCAGCGGAUCCUCCAAAAUCUAAAGCUAUUGAACCAAUAUCUAACCAACAAAUGAUUCAAGCUGAUUCUUCUUUUGGCUAAGCUAGUUGUUGUUCAGCAGCUUGAGGAUGAGCGAAUGAAUGAGAUUGCCGCCAAUGGCUUACCUCUGAUGUACAAUUUUGAUACACAAUGCUCUUGUAGUUCAGUGUGUAAGUUAAUUAAAGAUUUUACACAACAUCAGAAGGUAGAUGUGCAAGAAAUUGGUUUUGGGGGCUUGUUACAUCUGCAAUUGUCUAGAAAAAAUACGCAGAUGAUGUAUUGGUGCGUGAAGUGUUUUAAUGGAGUUAGUUCUCUCUUCACAAUCAGUGAUACCAAGGAGUUUGAAAUCACUGAUUAUGAUGUUUAUGAUAUGUUCAUGCUGCCUUUUUCUACCCUGAAUGUUGAAGGAGUUAAGCGAGUUAAAAAAUGCUACUAAUCCUGACAUCGAGUUGAAGCGCAAGUGGCGACGAGAGUUUGGGUUUGAGGAUGAAAAUGCUCAAAUCCCUGUGAGGUCGUUUGAGGAGAAAAUGAAGAUGUUUCCAGAGAGUGGUGAUUUGUUCAAACAGUUGUUUGUGUUUUUUUUUUUUCUUCUUUUUCUACAUUUUUGUGUCCUACAUCAAAUAGGAGCAUUGAUUACGACUUUCUAAGGCUUUGGAAGUUUUUGAAAUGGUUCUUAAAUUCAAAUGGUGUAAAUACGUUCUUUGACGUAUUGUGCGAGGAGACUGUAAAAUUUAAGAAUAGUCUAUUAAGAGGGAAAUACCAUAGGAGCUUUGGAGGUUGUGUUGUGUUUUUGCAACUUGUAUAUUUUCAAAGAAUAAAGUUCAGGAACUUAGGUAGUAUUCCUUAUGAAUUACCUCUGAUUCAAUAUUAGACCACGAAGAUGAUAAGUGAACGGGUUCAUGCUGAAAAUGUGGAUAUGAAUUUUUAUAUGGUUCUAGAAUUUUGCAGAAGGAGAAGUACUGUGAGGGGGUCGAAAAAGCACGAGGCUAAUGCGUGACCUCGUCCCUCGUGGGUGUGACGAUACUUUUAUUCAAUCAAGUAUAAUUGGAUUUCCUGUGAGUGUACACCAAUUGACUAGUAAUAUAGGAGUCGCCAUUCAGUUUUUAACAACAAUGAGAAAAACUGACAAAACCCGGUUAUCGUGACAUAAAGGGAGUGCAA